rnacentral:rRNA from 1 species
UACGUAGGGGGCAAGCGUUGUCCGGAAUCAUUGGGCGUAAAGAGCGUGUAGGCGGCCAGAUAAGUCCGCUGUGAAAUCUCGAGGCUCAACUUCGAGCUGUCGGUGGAAACUGUCUGGCUAGAGUCCGGAAGAGGAGAAUGGAAUUCCUGGUGUAGCGGUGAAAUGCGCAGAUAUCAGGAAGAACACCCGUGGCGAAGGCGGUUCUCUGGGGCGGUACUGACGCUGAGACGCGAAAGCGUGGGGAGCGAACAGG